rnacentral:lncRNA from 1 species
GUGUUUGAGGGCGGCGACAAGCUGGAGUCCUGCUGGGAUUUUCCGUGAUGAUGGUCUAAGCAAAGACCCUUCGUCCUGUUAAAGAUAAAUUAAAAAAAAAAAAAAAAAACCAAAGGGAACAAAACUUACUCUGCAAAAGUAAUAUAUGAUUUACCUGCUGUUGUCAUAAGAAUUCCAAAUAGACAAACUCGGUAUGCUUGGGAUUUGCUUUACAUUCUAAGUGGAUUUGGAGAAGAGACAAUAAAGAAUAAGCAGUCAAUUCUAUAAUAUAUUUAGAAGGAGAAAAGUGCCAAGGAGGAAUGAAAAAGUAGAACAAGAGACAGCAUCUUGCUGCCACCCAGGCUGGAGUGCAGUGGUGCAGUCUUAGCUUACUGCAGCCUCAAACUUCUGGGCUCAAGUAAUCCUCCCGCCUCAGCUUCCUGAGUAGCUGAGAUUACAGAUUUGCUUUGAGGUCACAUUGAUAUGAAAUAUGGAGUCACCUUUUAUAACUUCACCUGGGAAAGAGAGAGAAAACUUUCUUGUUAAAAAAACAUA